GUUUUUGUCACUUUUCUCUGAUUGAUAUUUUAUUGUCUGCUUUCCUUAUUUGUUUAGUUGACGGCACUGAAGUCCUGCCAUGAUCGCAACAUCAUCCACAGGGAUAUCAAACCUGAAAACAUGGUGAUAUGCUUUGAAGAUCAAGAAACAGGGAGAUGCUUAAAAGGAGCUCCGAAUGGAGAUAAGCCCUUCAACACCAAAA